rnacentral:tRNA from 1 species
ACGAAAGAUUGAUUGAUUGGUAAGAAUCCACAACAAGUUGUUCUUCUAAGAUGUAUCUGAGGGUCUGUAGCUCAGUUGGUUAGAGCACACGCUUGAUAAGCGUGGGGUCACAAGUUCAAGUCUUGUCAGACCCACCAAGUCUACGACUGAAAGAUACAUAAAUGAUAUAAGCUGGGGACUUAGCUUAGUUGGUAGAGCGCCUGCUUUGCACGCAGGAGGUCAGGAGUUCGACUCUCCUAGUCUCCACCACGUACUUUAAAGAGUACGGCUAAGGUGUAGAUUAUAGAACUUAGUAAAAAGAAGAUCAUGAGAUCUUGUUUUUAUUAAGUUCUGUGAUUUAUCACAGUUUAGUGUGAUCUGACGAAGACACAUUAAUUCAUUAACAGAUUGGAAAAUAUUGAGUCUGAAAUAAAUUGUUCACUCAAACACAAACAAAGCAAUUUUGAAUGUGAAUGAGAACUAGCAAAUUAACUGAAUCAAGCGUUUUGGUAUAUGAAUUUAGAUUGAAGCUGUACGGUGAUUCAAUUCACAGUACUUCAAACUGUAAUGUUGAUAAUGCUACUUUGUAGGCAUUAGCGACUGUUUGGGGUCGUAU